AAAAUUUUGGGAGUUUGUGCUAUUUUUUUCUAUUUUUCCCUCUUUACGCUACUGAUAAGCUUUACUUUUUUUUUCUUUACCCAAAUUUAUGUCUCUCUAAAAAUUUUCAAUCUCUCUCUGAAGCCCUAGAAAUCUUGUAUGCCUUCGUUCUCUCACCACUACCCCUUAACAAAAAUAGAAUCUCCAUUUCUAGUACUGGUAAACAUAGAUUCUAGGAAGGGUGAUGAGAUGACGAUAAAGGGACCAAACCCAAACAAAUAUCUUGUUUCAUGAGAUUAUUUGUGUACUGCCCAGUUUGUCUAUAUAUCACACCUUAAUACCAGUUCAGCCACGUAGACCCUUUUCUUCUCCUCUCCUUCCCUAAGCCUUGCACCAAUCCCCUCCCAGGGAAGACCUGUAAAAUCCCAGCUCGGCUUCUACACCAUCGAGUUUCUCCAUCGCCAUUGCUCAGCUCAAGCCAUCUCUGCUUCUCGGUCCAGUGAGUGAUAUUGAACCCAAGGCACCCGAACGAUUGUUGACACUGCACGCCGCCGCUAAUCUGCCGUCGGUCUCCUCUGCUCUGGUUCCAGAGAGGCAAAAUCUGGUCAAAGGGAAUAUGCAACUAUUUUUAGUGGAACAAUAGAGAAGUCAAGCUCUGGAAGCUCAUGCUGCUGCUUUUGCACAAUUUAAAGUUCCAGGGAAUGAGAAUCCUUCUACUCUCAUUUCCUUUGCAACAAAGACUUUUAAUGCUGGCCAAAUUGCAUCAAAGUUGCAUGUUAUAGAUCUUGGUGCCCAACCAGGUUGUCCAGCGAUUGCAAGAACUGUUUGCGCAAAUGAAGUAUAAAGAAGCUGCUGAGUCUCCACAAGGAAUUCUUCGUACUCCUGAUACAGUUGCCAAAUUUCAGAGUGUUCCUGUACAAACUGGGCAAACACCACCCCUUUUGCAGUAUUUUGGUACUCUCUUGACUAGAGGAAAGCUUAAUGCUUUCGAGUCAUUGGAACUAUCGCGUCUUGUUGUGAACCAGAACAAGAAUAAUUUUUUGGAAAAUUGGCUAGGAGAAGACAAAUUAGAAUGCAGCGAGGAGCUAGGAGAUCUUGUGAAGUAUCUAGCUUCUGAUCUGCUUCUACUUCUGGGGGUGUCUACUAUUGGAGCACCAAGCUUGCUGGCCCAAAAUGGUCACCAUUUGCUUCAUGGAUAACUGGCUGGAGAAAAAUGUCUCUUUCUCAAUCAAUUGGAGGAGAAAAGGAUACUUAAUUUUGAAGGCUUUGUGUUGGGCAGCUGUAGAAUAUUUUGUGCUGAAAGUAGUAACUUUUCAAUAUGUUGAAUAUUUAAGACUACUUGAAUACUUAAAGAACAUUUUGUUGUUGAUGACAGUGUUGAAUGUUUUAAACUAAUUUGUGGAUUGUUAAUACAAUGUUGAAUGUUUUUACUUCUUGUUAUUUGAAAA